rnacentral:rRNA from 1 species
ACCCUUGUCCCUAGUUGCUACGCAAGAGCACUCCAGGGAGACUGCCGGUGACAAACCGGAGGAAGGUGGGGAUGACGUCAAGUCCUCAUGGCCCUUAUGGGUAGGGCUUCACACGUCAUACAAUGGUCGGAACAGAGGGUUGCGAAGCCGCGAGGUGGAGCCAAUCCCAGAAAACCGAUCGUAGUCCGGAUCGCAGUCUGCAACUCGACUGCGUGAAGCUGGAAUCGCUAGUAAUCGCGGAUCAGCAUGCCGCGGUGAAUACGUUCCCGGGUCUUGUACACACCGCCCGU